rnacentral:lncRNA from 1 species
UAUGAUAUUCCGAUUAGCCUGUUUUACAAACAAUAUCAUGAACCCUUGCAUUUUACAUGUAAUGUGUUUAAAAUUAAUUUCCCAGGGCGAUAUCUUAUUUUGUCUCACCUAUACUAAUAAGGUUCAUGAAACAUUGAUAUUACUUAAUAUCACAAUGCAGAGAGGAAGCCAUUUCUCUGCUUUUAAUUGAAGCUCAGCUUCGGUUUCCAUGGCCACCAUGAGGAUGUCCAGGUGUAUAGAGUUCUUGAUGACGUCUCCGAAGAGGACAGUGAGAUGCUGACCUUGGUUUGUUAAACACUCAGCAUUCCAUACCAUGUGAUACUAAUAACCUAUGUAACAAAGGAACAAUUUUUCUGACCAUUUGCUACACUUCAAGUCCUCUGCACAGCAAUUAUGGAAUUUAGUCUUUAUAUUAACCUGGAAGCUUGGUAUCACCAUCAGUACCAUUACAUGGGAGGAAAAAUGAGUUUCAAAAUUAUUUUCUUUCCUUUAAAAACGACUUAAAAGUUUUAUUUCUUUAUAUGUAUGGGCUUUUUCCCCCUUGCAUGUAUGUCUGUGUACCGUGUGCACUGCAGUACCCAUAGAGGCCAGAAGAGGGCACCGAAUCAGCUGCCCCUGGAGUUUCAGAUGGCUUUGUGCCAAUGUGUAGAUAGAUGCUAGGAAUUAAACUUGGGUCCUCUGGAAGAGCAGCCAGUGCUCCUAACCUUUGAUCCAUCUCUCCAUUCCCAGGGGCUGCUUUCCACUCAAGUCAACUGUUACAUGGGACAGUGUCAAUCCAGCACUGUUGGGAAAUCCUCCCCCUACUCCCACCAUUUGUGUGUGUGGUAAGGGUCUGAAAGUCACUGAAGGAAGACUCCAGGCACAGAUAGUACACAGAGACAAAGAGCAUUUAUUCUGCACAAACAACCAGCAUGCAGGGGUCAGCCAUUCAAAAUGGCAUUCCCAGACAAAGGUGCAAAGGCCUUCUUAUAGGGAACGAACUGGGGGAACUCUCGAGGUGAUCAGCGGUCUCCAUUCCUAUGUCAUGAGAGUUCCAUCAUGUGAUGAGGUAGGGCUGCUCAGCACAGAUGGCCCAUUCUGAGAUAAGAUAGUUCCUAAUUUUUGUGGUCAUCCCCAGGCUGUUCUUUGGGAGGGGGUCUUACGACCUUGUUUCUGGAUUUUACGGUCUGUUCCUCGAGUUGGUGCCUAUGGCCAAUUCCUGGGACUUAUGGUCUGUUCCUGGAGCUGGUACCUUAUGGCUUUCUUUUUGAAAUUUGGCCUGGUCCUUAAACGGAGACCAAUGAGGGUUUAUGUUGUCCUUUCAGUGUGUGUGUGUGUGUGUGUGUGUGUGUGCACUCGUGUGCAGCACAAAGGAGAAUUCCCAGUGUCUGCCUCUCUCACUUUGCAUCUCAUUCCUUUGUUGCAGGAUCUUUCACUGAACGUGGAGCCAGACUGGACACCAGCAAGCCCCAGAGACCCUCCUGUCUCCACUCCUUGAAAUGCUAGGGUCACAGGUGUGCAACGGCCAUAUUUGGCUUUUUAUGUGCACUCUGAGGACUUGAACUGAGGUCCUCACAGUAGCUCAGCAAGUGGUCUUACUGUCUCAGCCAUUUCUCCAGCCCCACGUUGUCAGAGUUUUAAAGAGAAGCUGGCAACUCAAGCUUUUUAUGUGAAAUAACUGUUUAAAAAAAAAAUAGUAGCAACUAAAUAAAAUUAAAAGUGACCAC